GAUGAACGCUGGCGGCGCGCCUAACACAUGCAAGUCGAACGGAGCUGAGAGAAGCUUGCUUUUCUUAGCUUAGUGGCGAACGGGUGAGUAACGCGUGAGUAACCUGCCCUGGAGUGGGGGACAACAGUUGGAAACGACUGCUAAUACCGCAUAAGCCCACGAUCCGGCAUCGGAUUGAGGGAAAAGGAUUUAUUCGCUUCAGGAUGGACUCGCGUCCAAUUAGCUAGUUGGUGAGGUAACGGCCCACCAAGGCGACGAUUGGUAGCCGGACUGAGAGGUUGAACGGCCACAUUGGGACUGAGACACGGCCCAGACUCCUACGGGAGGCAGCAGUGGGGGAUAUUGCACAAUGGGGGAAACCCUGAUGCAGCGACGCCGCGUGGAGGAAGAAGGUUUUCGGAUUGUAAACUCCUGUCGUGAGGGACGAUAAUGACGGUACCUAACAAGAAAGCACCGGCUAACUACGUG
rnacentral:rRNA from 1 species